GGGCUGUUAGCUCAGGGGGAGAGCACUUGCUUGACACGCAAGGGGUCAGAGGUUCAAAUCCUCUACAGCCCACCA
rnacentral:tRNA from 1 species